rnacentral:miRNA from 1 species
GAUUGAGACUAGUAGGGCUAGGC